rnacentral:rRNA from 1 species
CUCCUUGAAAAAGGGUGGUAAUGCCGGAUGCUCCAGCAGACCGCAUGGUGUGUUGGGAAAGCCUUUGCGGCAUGGGAUGGGGUCGCGUCCUAUCAGCUUGAUGGCGGGGUAACGGCCCACCAUGGCUUCGACGGGUAGCCGGCCUGAGAGGGCGACCGGCCACAUUGGGACUGAGAUACGGCCCAGACUCCUACGGGAGGCAGCAGUGGGGAAUAUUGCACAAUGGGCGCAAGCCUGAUGCAGCGACGCCGCGUGAGGGAUGGAGGCCUUCGGGUUGUAAACCUCUUUUGUUAGGGAGCAAGGCAUUUUGUGUUGAGUGUACCUUUCGAAUAAGCACCGGCUAACUACGUGCCAGCAGCCGCGGUAAUACGUAGGGUGCAAGCGUUAUCCGGAAUUAUUGGGCGUAAAGGGCUCGUAGGCGGUUCGUCGCGUCCGGUGUGAAAGUCCAUCGCUUAACGGUGGAUCCGCGCCGGGUACGGGCGGGCUUGAGUGCGGUAGGGGAGACUGGAAUUCCCGGUGUAACGGUGGAAUGUGUAGAUAU